UAUUAUUACCUCUUUUCAUGUCAUCUUCAAGACAUGGAAAAUGAGCAUUUAAUUCAUCCUUAGCUUAUACCUUCCAGUAUAUCACUUUUGCUUCUGGAUUCAUCUAGUUUUUGAUGCUCUCCCUCUUCAAAAUCUGUUUAAAUGUUUUGUCUUCUAAUAAGAUAGAAGCUCCAUGGGAACAAGGACUAAUUUUUGUUUUCUCUUUUUAUCUUUAGAGACUAGCACAUAAGGAGAGGGCUAGACUUGUGAUUUCAUCUCCCUAAUGAGGAAAUUCUAUCAAAAUGGAAGCUCCUUGAAGGGUGAAGAAGAGUGCUUCACUUCAGCUGCUUCUGCAUCCCUGACAUCCCAGUGCCCCCUAGGGGACAGGAGAAUGUCCAAUUAAGCCAUUGUAAGAUGCAUGAGUGAAUUCCAAGGAAAUGAGGAUGUAUCACAGCAGACUGUUGGACAACUCAGGUAUACUCUGACCUUUUGGCCAUAAAUUGAGUGACUCUUCCAUCACUCAGACCACAUGUGGGUAAGGAUGAAUACAGCUCAGUCUACCAGGCUCUGGAUAGGGUAUUAGACAGAAAGACUUGGGCUUAAAGCCCACUUACUGUUUGUGUAACCUUAGGCAAGUCACUAAAGUUCUCUGUGCAUCAGUUUCUUGACCUGUAAAAUGAGAGGAUUGUACUUACUGAUCUUUGAUGUCCACUCCAGCUCACUAACUAUGAUUCUAUAGUCUGGCUCAGUUUCACACAUGUUUUAAUAAGCCCUUUUAGUCUUUGGGAGAUCAGGUCCAUUUUACCCCUCCAUCUAACCCUUGUACUAAGCUCUGAAGAGCUGUGGGUGUAACUUAGUUCCCCCAAGGCCCUUUGGACAAAAUGAGACUGGACUUCCUAGGAUGGUCCUAGACUAUGAUAUGUCUAGAGUCAGAUUUAGAUAUCCCAAUCAUCUCAAACUCAGUGUCCCAAAUGUAAUUCAUCUUCCUUCUUAAAUCCCCUUCUCCUUCAAAUUUCCCUAACACAUUUCCAGUAGGGUUUUUUCAUUCUUUAUACUGAAUCCCCAGGACUGGGCACAGAGUAGGCACUUAAU
rnacentral:lncRNA from 1 species